GACAGAGGGGGCGAGCGUUAAUCGGAAUUACUGGGCGUAAAGCGUGCGCAGGCGGUUUCGUAAGACAGAUGUGAAAUCCCCGGGCUUAACCUGGGAACUGCGUUUGUGACUGCGAGACUCGAGUGUGGCAGAGGGGGGUGGAAUUCCACGUGUAGCAGUGAAAUGCGUAGAGAUGUGGAGGAACACCGAUGGCGAAGGCAGCCCCCUGGGUUGACACUGACGCUCAUGAACGAAAGCGUGGGUAGCAAACAGG
rnacentral:rRNA from 1 species